GAGUGUCGGAUUUAAAACGUCCACCUCCCACCCUUUGUGUAUUUUACCUGUUGCUUCGGCAGGACGUUCCUUAACGGACCGUCGGCUUUGCGGGCGUGUUCCUGCCGAAGAAUUUUAAACUCUAUACUUAUUGUCUGAGUCUUAUAAAAAAAAUCAAAACUUUCAACAACGGAUCUCUUGGUUCU
rnacentral:misc_RNA from 1 species